UCGAGAAUCUUCCGCAAUGGGCGAAAGCCUGACGGAGCGACGCCGCGUGCGGGAUGAAGGCCUUCGGGUUGUAAACCGCUGUCAGUGGGGAGGAAAUGCACGGGGGUUCUCCCUCGUGUUUGACCGAUCCGCAGAGGAAGCACAGGCUAAGUUCGUGCCAGCAGCCGCGGUAACACGAACUGUGCGAACGUUAUUCGGAAUUACUGGGCUUAAAGAGUUCGUAGGCGGCUUGUUAAGUCGGGUGUGAAAUCCCUCGUCUCAACCGAGGAAUUGCGUUCGAAACUGGCAGGCUUGAGUGAGAUAGAGGUGAGCGGAACUGAUGGUGGAGCGGUGAAAUGCGUUGAUAUCAUCAGGAACACCGGUUGCGAAGGCGGCUCACUGGGUCUUUACUGACGCUGAGGAACGAAAGCUAGGGGAGCGAACGGG
rnacentral:rRNA from 1 species